CAUUAAGUGGCUGAAAUUUUUAAGCGUUGGUCUCUUAAACCAAAUUAUAGUUAAUAAACUCUUAAUGA
rnacentral:tRNA from 1 species